UGGCUGUGUUGCUCCUUCACUGGUGAUGA
rnacentral:piRNA from 1 species